rfam:Triticum urartu cultivar G1812 contig49928, whole genome shotgun sequence.
AAAGUACUCCCUCCGUCCCAAAAUUCUUGUCUUAGAUUUGUCUACGGAUGUAUCAAGUCACAUUUUAGUAUUAGAUACAUCCGUAUCUAGACAAAUCUAAGACAAGAAAUUUUGGACGAAGGGAGUAGUUG